UGGCUUACAUGGGCUUGUGAUGUAUUCCAUCUCUUGCACACUGGACCAGCGCUCCAGCUGCAGUUUGGUGUGCACGGGAUGGAAUACAUCAUGGAUUCAUGAUGUGG
rnacentral:pre_miRNA from 1 species